GAUGAACGCUGGCGGCGUGCCUAAUACAUGCAAGUCGAACGAAACUUCUUUAUCACCGAGUGCUUGCACUCACCGAUAAAGAGUUGAGUGGCGAACGGGUGAGUAACACGUGGGCAACCUGCCCAAAAGAGGGGGAUAACACUUGGAAACAGGUGCUAAUACCGCAUAACCAUAGUUACCGCAUGGUAACUAUGUAAAAGGUGGCUAUACUACCGCUUUUGGAUGGGCCCGCGGCGCAUUAGCUAGUUGGUAGGGUAAAGGCUUACCAAGGCAGUGAUGCGUAGCCGAAUUGAGAGGUUGAUCGGCCACAUUGGGACUGAGACACGGCCCAAACUCCUACGGGAGGCAGCAGUAGGGAAUCUUCCACAAUGGGCGAAAGCCUGAUGGAGCAACGCCGCGUGGGUGAAGAAGGUCUUCGGAUCGUAAAACCCUGUUGUUAGAGAAGAAAGUGCGUGAGAGUAACUGUUCACGUUUCGACGGUAUCUAACCAGAAAGCCACGGCUAACUACGUG
rnacentral:rRNA from 1 species